CGGCCGGACAGCAAACUGCUCUUUGGCAGGUACAUUAAGAAAAUGGGCAAAACAUGAGUCCUAACGUUAGUGGAAUGGAGGGAGGAACCAUCGACCUAUGACAUUAUUGUUUCAAAAAAGAACCUACCGAAAAAGAAAUUUGAACCUGGGGAUGUUGUGGAUGUCGCCUAUGAGGAUAAAAGUUCACCAGCCACAGUUCUAGACAUUAAAGAGAACAAAGAAACUCUCAGGAGGAGGAUAUUCAGAAGAGGGGAAUUUACAGACGUAGUACAGAAGAAGUUUCCAAACGUACCAAUAAAAUUUAUCAGAGCAGCAGUAAGGGAAAAAGUAAAUGAUGAGCACAAGUUACAAGUAAGGCAAUCAUUUGUGCACGCACGCACACACACAUACACACGCACACACUUGUAUGGACCCUUUUCACAUUUGCGUGUUUUUUAGCAGCUGAAAUCAUCAUAGUUGGUAAACUUCGAGCGCAGUGAAUGAGAGAGUACAACGACUUUUUUUUUUUUUUACAAUUCUAUUUGCUACAGAAAACAAUGUCAAAUUUACUGUCCUGUCCCCAUAGACACUUCAUUAGAUACUCCUCGCAUUG